rnacentral:rRNA from 1 species
GCCGUAAACGAUGAGUGNUAAGUGUUAGGGGGUUUCCGCCCCUUAGUGCUGCAGCUAACGCAUUAAGCACUCCGCCUGGGGAGUACGGUCGCAAGACUGAAACUCAAAGGAAUUGACGGGGGCCCGCACAAGCGGUGGAGCAUGUGGUUUAAUUCGAAGCAACGCGAAGAACCUUACCAGGUCUUGACAUCCUCUGACAAUCCUAGAGAUAGGACGUCCCCUUCGGGGGCAGAGUGACAGGUGGUGCAUGGUUGUCGUCAGCUCGUGUCGUGAGAUGUUGGGUUAAGUCCCGCAACGAGCGCAACCCUUGAUCUUAGUUGCCAGCAUUCAGUUGGGCACUCUAAGGUGACUGCCGGUGACAAACCGGAGGAAGGUGGGGAUGACGUCAAAUCAUCAUGCCCCUUAUGACCUGGGCUACACACGUGCUACAAUGGACAGAACAAAGGGCAGCGAAACCGCGAGGUUAAGCCAAUCCCACAAAUCUGUUCUCAGUUCGGAUCGCAGUCUGCAACUCGACUGCGGAAGCUGAAUC